rnacentral:lncRNA from 1 species
GCUGAGAAGUUCUUUCAAGCAAGCCUUUGGAAAGAAAAAGUCCACCAAGCCACCCUCCUCGCAUUCGGACAUUGAAGAGCUGACAGACUCGUCCCUACCCGCGUCCCCCAAGCUACCCCACAAUGCUGGCGAGAGUGGCUCCUCGUCCAUGAAGCCCUCACAGUCAGCCUCAGCGAUCUGUGAAUGCACAGAGGCUGAGGCCGAGAUCAUUCUGCAGUUGAAGAGCGAGCUCAGGGAAAAGGAAUUAAAAUUAACAGAUAUAAGGUUGGAGGCCCUCAGCUCCGCUCACCAUCUCGAUCAGAUCCGGGAAGCCAUGAACCGGAUGCAGAAUGAGAUUGAAAUAUUGAAGGCUGAAAAUGACCGGCUGAAGGCGGAGACCGGAAACACAGCUAAACCUGCCAGGCCCCCCUCUGAGUCCUCAAGCACAGCCUCCUCUUCUUCUUCUCGCCAGUCCU